AUGAACGCUGGCGGCGUUGCUUAACACAUGCAAGUCGAACGAAGCAUUUUAGAACAGAUUAUUUCGGUAUGAAGUUCUUUAUGACUGAGUGGCGGACGGGUGAGUAACGCGUGGGUAACCUGCCUUGUACUGGGGGAUAGCCAGCUGGAAACGGCUGGUAAUACCGCAUAAGCGCACGGUGCUGCACGGCACAGUGUGAAAAACUCCGGUGGUAUAAGAUGGACCCGCGUCUGAUUAGCUAGUUGGUGAGAUAACAGCCCACCAAGGCGACGAUCAGUAGCCGACCUGAGAGGGUGACCGGGCCACAUUGGGACUGAGACACGGCCCAGACUCCUACGGGAGGCAGCAGUGGGGAAUAUUGCACAAUGGAGGAAACUCUGAUGCAGCGACGCCGCGUGAGUGAUGAAGUAUUUCGGUAUGUAAAACUCUAUCAGCAGGGAAGAUAAUGACGGUACCUGACUAAGAAGCACCGGCUAAAUACGUG
rnacentral:rRNA from 1 species